rnacentral:rRNA from 1 species
UGGGGAAUAUUGCACAAUGGGCGCAAGCCUGAUGCAGCCAUGCCGCGUGUAUGAAGAAGGCCUUCGGGUUGUAAAGUACUUUCAGCGAGGAGGAAGGCAUUGCGGCUAAUAACCGCAGUGAUUGACGUUACUCGCAGAAGAAGCACCGGCUAACUCCGUG